rnacentral:lncRNA from 1 species
AAUUUCAUGGGUUUAACAACAACAUUUUCAUUAUUCACACAAUUCAAUCAAAUUUCCUGGGUUUAACAUCAACAUUUCAUCAUUUCCACCAUUCAAUCAAAUUUCAUAGGUUUAACAACAAUGUUUGCAUCAUUCACACAAUCCAAUCAAAUUUCAUUGGUUUAACAACAACAUUAUCAUCAUGCACACAAUUCAAUUAGAUUUCAUGGGUUUAACAACAACAUUUUCAUCAUUCACAAAAUUUAAUCAAAUUUCGUGGGUUUAACAUCAACAUUUUCAUC